rnacentral:tRNA from 1 species
AGCGGGCUAGCUCAAUCAGGUAGAGCGUCGGCCUCAUAAGCCGAGGGUUUCGGGUUCAAAUCCCGAGUUCCGCAACCA